rnacentral:lncRNA from 10 species
AUCAGGCCUCAUGCUUGCAGGAUGGCAGCUGCAUCUCAUGGCAUCUCAUCUGCUUUCCAGGCAGCAAAAGUGGGGCAGACAAAGGGGAAAGGGCUCAGGCCAGAGGACAUUCUCCCUUUUACUUUGAAUAGUAAUAGUUUACCCAAAAGGCUCACCGGGAGACUUACACUUACCUCUCAGUAGCCAGAACUGGGACAUGUGAACUUCCCAAGAUAUAAGAGAGCUUGGGGAGGGCAGAACUUUUAUCUGGCACACUGCCACCCCACAGCAAUGUGAUUUAAUUAGUAAGGAACAAAGGGAGAGCAGACGUUGGAGGGGGAAAUACACAGAUUAUUCUCUGCAGUUGGUAGGCUUAUCUACUACAGCAAUGGUUCCCAGCCUUUUUGGCACCAGGAACUGGUGUUGUGGAAGACAGCUUUUCCAUGGAUGGGGACUGGGCCUGGAGGCGGCAGGGAUGUUUUUGGGAUAAAACUGUUUCACCUCAGAUCAUCAGGCAUCAGAUCAAUCUUGUCCAACCUGUGGCCCAGGAUGACUUUGAAUGCAGCCCAACACAAAUUCAUAACCUUAAAUUAUUUGUGAUUUUUUUUAGCUCAUUAGCUAUUAUUAGUGUCUUUUAUGUGUGGCCCAAGACAAUUCUUCUUCUAAUGUGGCCCAGGGAAACCAAAAGAUUGGACAUUCCUACACUAGAUUUUCAUAAGGAGUACAAAAUCUAGAUCCCUCACAUCUGCUGUUCACAAUAGGGUUCCAGCUCCUAUGAGAAUCUACUGCCCCCUCUUCCCCGGCUCCGCUGAUCUGACAGGAGGCGGAGCUCAGGCAGUAAUGCUCACUAGCCAAAGGCUCACCUCCUGCUGUGCCGCCCACUUCCUAACAGACCACGGGCACUGGGCCAUGGCCCAGGGGCUAAGGACCCCUGUACUACAGGGAAUCAUCAAAGAGUCAUUGUAAACUAUAGCCCCAUUCAUUAAGUGAUGAGCUGAGAUUGUGCUAAGGACCUGCUUUACAGUCAUCUCAUUUAAUCCUCAUGACAAAUUGAGGUCCAGGAAUGUAGAGGAAGGUGAUUCACAGGGCUGAGCCUGACUGUGAGAAACCCAGGGCUGCCCUGCAUUCCAUCGUGCCUGGAACACAUGACUCUGUAAGGUGGUCCGAGGAGACCUGCCGCUGGUGAGCCUUGCCCUGGACAUGAGGACUGAAGAAGCCAGUGGAAAGAGUUGAUUGAGACUCAAAAUGUUCCUUGACAGCCAGUUUCAGAAGAUAAGUUGUAGAGAAUUUAAAAAUGAACGGGGGCUCCUGGGUGGUUGUUACACUUGAUCAUUCAUUGAGCUGUACACGGAUGCUUUUUGUGCUAUUCUGUUUGUAAAAUGUUUAUUGACUAAAUGAUUGAAUAUACCCAUGGAUAAUGGCCAGACCGUGUAUGAAAAUGGAACUCUGACCCACAAUCUGCAGCAACCAGCCCAGGAAACCAACACAUUGUCUAUGGUGAUCAGCCCAGGAAGCCAGCCUGCUCUCCGACCAGCCAGAGAAAGCCAAAUAUGCACCCCUACUCAGACACCACAGGAUGCCCACUUCUGGUUGGCCCACUUGCAGCUUCCCCAUGCCAACGGCCUCCAAUCAAACCUGAAGACAUCCCUUUUUUCCCCACAAUGAAACUUUCCCUUUUCUUUGUCUUCCUUUGAGUCUCUGCCAAAAUGCAAGUGACGGUGGCUGACUCUCUUGCUAUAUAGCAAGCUCUGAAUAAAUAGCCUUUGCUUGUUCACAU